UGGGGUGUACCUUAGUGGUAGAAUAUGUGUUUAGCAUGCAUGAGGCCCUGAGUUCAAUCCUCAGCACCACAA
rnacentral:tRNA from 1 species